rnacentral:rRNA from 1 species
AGUGAACGCUGGCGGUAGGCCUAACACAUGCGAGUCGAGCGGCAGCACAGUAAGAGCUUGCUCUUACGGGUGGCGAGUGGCGGACGGGUGAGGAAUACAUCGGAAUCUACUUUUUCGUGGGGGAUAACGUAGGGAAACUUACGCUAAUACCGCAUACGACCUACGGGUGAAAGCAGGGGAUCUUCGGACCUUGCGCGAUUGAAUGAGCCGAUGUCGGAUUAGCUAGUUGGCGGGGUAAAGGCCCACCAAGGCGACGAUCCGUAGCUGGUCUGAGAGGAUGAUCAGCCACACUGGAACUGAGACACGGUCCAGACUCCUACGGGAGGCAGCAGUGGGGAAUAUUGGACAAUGGGCGCAAGCCUGAUCCAGCCAUACCGCGUGGGUGAAGAAGGCCUUCGGGUUGUAAAGCCCUUUUGUCGGGAAAGAAAAGCAGCAGGUUAAUACCCCGCUGUUCUGACGGUACCCAAAGAAUAAGCACCGGCUAACUUCGUG